rnacentral:rRNA from 1 species
UACGGAGGGUGCAAGCGUUAUCCGGAUUCACUGGGUUUAAAGGGUGCGUAGGAGGGCAGGUAAGUCAGUGGUGAAAUCCCCGAGCUUAACUUGGGAACUGCCGUUGAUACUAUCUGUCUUGAAUGUUGUGGAGGUAAGCGGAAUAUGUCAUGUAGCGGUGAAAUGCUUAGAUAUGACAUAGAACACCAAUUGCGAAGGCAGCCUGCUACACAAUUAUUGACUCUGAUGCACGAAAGCGUGGGGAUCAAACAGG